rnacentral:lncRNA from 1 species
AAAUGUUAUUAGAUCUGAAACGGACAGCACUAACGGUCUAAACCUAGCCAGAAGACAGAUUGGGACUUGAACUCACGUGCUGGGACUCGAACCCAAUCUAAAGCCAGAUGGGACUUAAAGCCACAGUUUUACAUUAGAAUUUCUCACCCUGUGUCUGGACUCACUGAGGUUCAGGUUCUUUAUGCCUCCACGCAGAAGAAAUUCAGCGAGAAACAAAGUGACGGGCAAGAAACAGAUUUAUGAGGAUAGGAUGCUUGUGAGAGAUGCAAGCAGGCAGGCAAGGAAGUUCUGACCGAGGAUUGGUGGGCCACAGUUUUAUCAUCCAAGGGGCGUGGGAGUUGGAAAAGCCCACCUCUUACCUUUCCUGAAGUAGUAGCUCCUCCUUAGUAUCUGGUAAGGUGUGUAUUCAAAUCAGCUGAAGGUCUUCAAACUCUUGCCCUUGGGCUGAAUUUGAUUGCAGGCCUCGUCCCAUCCCCCACCCAAUGACCUGCGGCAAUUCUGGCACCUCCACUUAGUUAAGCAAGCCUGCCUUAGUCUGGUGGCUUUCUUGGAACUUACAGUGGUUUCCCAGCAUCCCCCAGGUUCCCCUCUUUUUCUAUGAUCCCCUAUUGGGAUUUCUACCACCACCUGUGCCUACUCCAUCCCUAUCAGAUCCAUUUCUGCAAGUCAGAUUAUAAGAAUGUGCCAUAUCUGACAGCUUGUGACAGUUUCUAUCAGGUCAGAAAAAUAACUACAUCGUGUACAUUCGUUUCCUGUGGGAGAAAAAGAGCAAGGUUGGGCGACCUUCCCUGGCUCUCCCCCACUCCUCUCCCCUACAGCUCUCAGGGGUCCUGCUCCCCUCCCCCGCUUUCUGAAGGUGGGUGCUCCUCUGCUUGGUCAGCUCCGGCUGCUCUAACAAAGCAGGUAGGCUGA